AAAAGAGGUGGAGGCUGGGAGAAGACACAGGCCCCACAGCUGGCUCCUGAGGAGCCCCGUGGCUGGACUCGUCUGGCUCCCUUUGCUGAGACUGCUGAAUGCACCUUCCAAGAGGAGCUUCCUGUUGGGUAACGGAAGUUCUUCCCCACAUCCAGCCACAGCAGCCUACGGUCUUUCAUCUGGUUUCCUGACCUCUGGUCCUUAGAGGAGAUGGACUUGACUUCAGGUCCAAGCCAGACAGUCUCCCUGAGGCGGCCAGGAGGACAGGUUGGACCCACUGAAUGUGCCGGCAUGUUCUCAGCGCUUGGGUGUGACCUUUCGCGAGGCAUAUUCACACAUUCUAGUUGGGCGCCUGGAGUGGAACCCAUUCCGAAGGUUGAAACAGGAAAAAAAUCACCAACCUUAAGAGGAAACAGGGAGCAACGUUGUGAACCUUGGUCUCUGCAGUCAGCCUGUCUGGGCUUGCUUCUCUGCUACGUACUACUUACAAGAUCCUGGGCAGGCUUCAUAAUAUCUGUAAGCCUCACUUUCCUUAUCUGUAGAAUGGGGCUGCCAGAAGUUCCUACUCCGAGGGUGUGGGGGGAUUCAAUGAGACCCUGCAUAGACCCUUUAGACCCUGCAACACUGAGCUUGGUGCCGAGUGGAUACUGAAGCUCGGCUUGGAGGCCUGGCCCUGAGAUAACGCACUGAGAGUGCCCAGUGAAUGGUGAUACACACACACGGGGUCAGUGCUGGCGAUCAUACCGCCCAGACUGCAGCCAGCAGACCUUAUGCCAGGGCCUGAAGCUUGGGCUGGGGGGAGCAGGCAGUCACAGUUGGGGUCCCCCUACGUUCAGUGAAUGCAUUUAUGAAGCAGAAAGGAGGCCAGAAAAAAGCAAAGAAGAGAAAAGAAACCCCAGCAAAUUCUCCUCUGUCCUCCCCCAGCUCUGCAGCUCCUGGGGGAACUGAGCUGUAUAAUACAAUGGGAUUUAAUAAAAUGCCUUUAACUCACAAAGUUUGUCUGCUGCCAGCUCCUUAAUUAAAUUGCCUAAUGCUGCUUUGCGAUGGCAGCACAAACUCCUGUGUUUAAAGAGCACGGUGUUGCCAUGGCACUCCCCCGACAGGACGAGCCAGCUGUGGAGGAGCAUACAGAUGAGACAUGGGGCCUGGCCCCUGCCUGCAGUAUCCAACACACACACACACACACACACACACACACACACACACUCUCUCUCACACACUCACAC